UUAAAAACAAUUUAUAGAAGCUUGAUACACAAAGACAUGCUAGACAGGGAACCAACUACUUGAGCAGUUCAAACCCUAGCUUCCAAGCAAACCUUUACAGUACAAGUCAUAAUACAUUAUGUUACUUAGAAAGUUAUUGUAUAGGGGUAAAACACACAUUUAUUGAAAUAUUUCAAGCCCCUCCAAUUCUUACAUACCUUCAUAUAAGACAUAAUCUCUUGGAAGAGUCUAAAACGUUUCCCAUUAGAAUACACUUAGUUAUGGGUUCGAAUAAUUUAACCUCUUAGAUUUUGGGGACAUGUCUUACUGUUCCCCUGCUAUGUUUACUUUAAAUUCACUACUAAAACAUGUUACAGUGCAAAUGGAAUAAAUGUCAGCAUAUAACAUUAUCUUUAGUGAUGUCCCGAAC